rnacentral:rRNA from 1 species
UACAGAGGUCUCAAGCGUUGUUCGGAUUCAUUGGGCGUAAAGGGUGUGUAGGUGGCGCGCUAAGUCGGGUGUGAAAUUUCGGAGCUUAACUUCGAAACUGCAUUCGAUACUGGCGUGCUUGAGGACUGGAGAGGAGACUGGAAUUUACGGUGUAGCAGUGAAAUGCGUAGAUAUCGUAAGGAAGACCAGUGGCGAAGGCGGGUCUCUGGACAGUUCCUGACACUGAGGAGCGAAAGCGUGGGGAGCGAACAGG